rnacentral:lncRNA from 1 species
CUGGCUUUCAGUUUUAGGCCUCCUAACAUACUGUUCUCACUGCCUGAACAUGUUUACGCCCUCCUCAAAUGUCCCUUGGCCUAAGUCUUAUUCAUCAUUGAGAUCUCGAUUUCAGCACCACUUUCUCCAGGAAACAUUCCGAGACUCUUUUGUUUAAAUGCCUCACUUAUUUGGUCCCACAGCACAAAGAUCAAAUGCAGAAGGAACUGCACGUGGAAAGGCCAGCCACAUACAUCACAAAAAGAGGACUGAAGUCAGCACACAGCUUGAAAGCCGGACUACAGGCCUUUCUUCAAGAAUGGCUGGAGUGACCCUGGGGACUUGCUGCAAGAAGCAAGAGGAUUGGGCAAAGGUCAAGAGGCCAUUUGUCAAACAGCACAAGACAUGUAACAGGAUAUGCACAGUGAGACAUGGCGGGGGAGAGCCCCCACGGAGCCCAGGGGAUGUAUGACAUCAUAGUCACAGUCCUACAUCUUCCUCUGUUUCCCCAGCUACCCUGGCUAUCUCUGCAGACAGGAAGAGAGCUGCCAAGUAGGGCUGGAAAGAGACACUCGGCAGGUAGAUCUUGCCGUAACAAGGAGAAGAAACUCAUGGAUUUCACCUAAGACCAGAGAAGGGAACAUUCCCAAGAGACUUGGAGGUUCCAUCUCUCAAGCAACCUGAAAUUAGCAGGGAUUUCUCCUGCGGCUUUGCCAUGAUGUGGGGAAAAGGGAAGUGGUUUUGACGCAAGGGACAGAGGGAGUGUUGGCGGUGGCAGGGGGAGCAGGGGCAGCAGCUCACUUACGGGUUAAAACCACCCUGGAGAGGCCCAGCUCUCUGAAGUUCGACAUCAGAAUAUACAUUCGAGUAAGGGUGGUCAGUUAUUCAAUUUUUUGAGACUCACUUUCCUUGUCUUUAUACAUGAGGUUUAACAAAAUUGUCAAGAAGGUGACAGAAAACAGCAGAGGAAAAAGCUGCAGUAUAGUGGAUACUCCAUAAAUAUUGGUUCCCUUGGCUAUAUUCGUCCCCUCUUUUUCCCAAGUGUAGAGCAACAUGGAUUAAAAUUUAUUUUGUAUUUCUAGAUCUCCAGCAAAUGUAUUUAGAACUGUUCUAUUAAAUUUUCCUGGAAAAUAAAGCAUCCCUUGCAUUGAGGCUAUCUAGGUAAUCUAUUUAACAGCAUCUAAGUCUAGAAAUUCAGAAACGUCUAUAUGUGCGCCUCUCUCUGUAAUGUCCUGAUUCUUUUUUUUUUUCUCAUCCACUUGCCCAUCAGUGGUUCAGAUAUUCUCUCUAUAUUUGUGUUUGCAAAGUUCUAUUCCUGAAUGGAAUUUUCUCCCAGGAAUUCCCGACCGAGGCCAUCUGCUCUGCAGGCAGAAAGUGAAGCGACCGCAGCCUGAUGCAGCCAGGAAGGCAGAGGCUGAGAGGAGGGAGUGUGGCAUCAGAACAGAGUCCGCCGGGGCUCUGGCUUCCUCCUCCGGGAUCAAGGGAAAUGUGCGAAGCACAGUGCAGAAUCCCGGGCGGCUCAUGCCCACUCACUUGCUGGGGGAACAGAUAAAACACGAGUGAGGGGGAGAUUUUGUGGGCUGACACUCCCCAGAAAUGCUGUGUGCACAUGGGCGUGGUGAUUGAUACUUAGCGCUUUGAAGCAAACACCGUGAGACUACUCAGCAUUGGGAGAAGCUGUCCACGCGGACGCCCAGGAAGCAGCCCGGAGGAUAGGGUGCCCCAGCAGUACUGCAGAAUCCCAACUACUGACGAGAAUGAGUAAAAGAAUGCACAGAUUGGACAUGUAAAUAAACAGGUUAAAUACCCUGGCAGCUCUUGAAAACAAACCCCUUUUUCUGAAUCUGCUCAGAAACCUCCGUUCUCAUGGUCACUCGGCAACAUGCUGCGGAGAAGAAGACUCGGCCUCGGAACAGCCAUGCCCGGGUUCGAUCCCAGUCCUAGCUUGUGGCAGCCGGGUGACUGGGCAUGAUUCCUGGGCUUCAGUCCUAAUCUGUAAAACGUAGGGGCUGAAGGAGGAAGCGGGAUGGAGUGGAGACCAUUAGAAUUAAUGUAUGAGGCCAGGCGCAGUGGCUCACACCUGUAAUCCCAGCACUUUGGGAGGCCAAGACAGGCAGAUCAGGAGGUCAGGAGAUCGAGACCAUCCUGGCUAACAUGGUGAAACCCCAUCUCUACUAAAAAUACAAAAAAUUAUCCAGGCGUGGUGGCACGUGCCUGUAGUCCCAGCUACUCGGGAGGCUG